rnacentral:rRNA from 1 species
AGGGUUUGAUUAUGGCUCAGGAUGAACGCUGGCGGCGUGCCUAACACAUGCAAGUCGAGCGAGAAGCCUUUAAAUGAAACUUCGGUAGAUUUUAGAGGUGGGAAGCGGCGGACGGGUGAGUAACGCGUAGGCAACCUGCCCUUUGCAGAGGGAUAGCCUCGGGAAACCGGGAUUAAAACCUCAUAAAGCUCUGUUAAGACAUCUUAAUAGGGUCAAAGAUUUAUCGGCAAAGGAUGGGCCUGCGUCUGAUUAGUUAGUUGGUGGGGUAACGGCCUACCAAGGCAGCGAUCAGUAGCCGACCUGAGAGGGUGAUCGGCCACAUUGGAACUGAGACACGGUCCAA